rnacentral:rRNA from 1 species
GACGAACGCUGGCGGCGUGCUUAACACAUGCAAGUCGAACGGAAAGGCCCUGCUUGUAGGGUGCUCGAGUGGCGAACGGGUGAGUAACACGUGGGUGAUCUGCCCCUUACUUUGGGAUAAGCCUGGGAAACUGGGUCUAAUACUGGAUAGGACCAUGCUGUAGGUGGUGUGGUGGAAAGAUUAGUUUCGGUAAGGGAUGAGCUCGCGGCCUAUCAGCUUGUUGGUGGGGUAAUGGCCUACCAAGGCGUCGACGGGUAGCCGGCCUGAGAGGGUGGACGGCCACAUUGGGACUGAGAUACGGCCCAGACUCCUACGGGAGGCAGCAGUGGGGAAUAUUGCACAAUGGGCGCAAGCCUGAUGCAGCGACGCCGCGUGGGGGAUGACGGCCUUCGGGUUGUAAACUCCUUUCAGCCAUGACGAAGCCCUUGUGGUGACGGUAGUGGUAGAAGAAGCACCGGCUAACUACGUG